CUGGUCAGGAUGAACGCUAGCUACAGGCUAACACAUGCAAGUCGAGGGGCAGCAUUGGGGUAGCAAUACUCAGAUGGCGACCGGCGCACGGGUGAGUAACACGUAUCCAACCUGCCGCUUACUCGGGGAUAGCCUUUCGAAAGAAAGAUUAAUACCCGAUGGUAUAAAGAGUUCGCAUGUUCUCUUUAUUAAAGAAUUUCGGUAAGCGAUGGGGAUGCGUUCCAUUAGAUUGUUGGCGGGGUAACGGCCCACCAAGUCUACGAUGGAUAGGGGUUCUGAGAGGAAGGUCCCCCACAUUGGAACUGAGACACGGUCCAAACUCCUACGGGAGGCAGCAGUGAGGAAUAUUGGUCAAUGGACGAGAGUCUGAACCAGCCAAGUUAAGCGCGAAGGAUGACUGCCCUAGUGGGUUAGUAAACUUCUUUUAUAAGGGAAUAAAGUGAGGGACGUGUCCCUUUUUGUAUGUACCUUAUGAAUAAGGAUCGGCUAACUCCGUGCCAGCCGCCGC
rnacentral:rRNA from 1 species